UGGGGAAUUUUGGACAAUGGGCGCAAGCCUGAUCCAGCCAUGCCGCGUGCGGGAAGAAGGCCUUCGGGUUGUAAACCGCUUUUGUCAGGGAAGAAAUCUUCUGAGUUAAUACCUCGGGAGGAUGACGGUACCUGAAGAAUAAGCACCGGCUAACUACGUGCCAGCAGCCGCGGUAAUACGUAGGGUGCAAGCGUUAAUCGGAAUUACUGGGCGUAAAGCGUGCGCAAGGCGGUUUUGUAAGACAGAGGUGAAAUCCCCGGGCUCAACCUGGGAACUGCCUUUGUGACUGCAAGGCUUGAGUGCGGCAGAGGGGGGAUGGAAUUCCGCGUGUAGCAGUGAAAAUUGCGUAGAUAUGCGGAGGAAGCACCGAUGGCGAAGGCAAUCCCCUGGGCCUGNACUGACGCUCAUGCACGAAAGCGU
rnacentral:rRNA from 1 species